rfam:Brassica napus, WGS project CCCW01000000 data, contig: 10607
GGAAUAUAAGAACCCGUCUCUUAACUUUCAACUAAAAAAGUUAAGAGCCGGCUCUUAAAUUUCUUAUUUAAGAACCAGCUCUUAGAUUUUUUAGUUAAAAGUUAAGAGACGAAUUCUUAUAUUCU